rnacentral:lncRNA from 1 species
GCAUAUACUUUUGAAAAUUUCCUAAUUCAAAAAAAAAAAAACAAAGAAAAAAGGAAACAUGUUGAUUAUAUCAAAAUUAGGAGGCACAAAAAAUUAUAGUCCGUUAGAACUAAUAAAGCAAAUAAUUGACCCAUCAUAUCAUCCAAAGAAACGGAAAAUAAAUAAAUAAAUAAAUAAAUAAAUAAAUAUAUCUUCUAUUUUCAUUUUUUUUGAUUUUCUUCUUUCUCGAACGGAUUUUUUUCGGACUUGA